rnacentral:rRNA from 1 species
GGACUACACGGGUUUCUAAUCCUGUUUGAUCCCCACGCUUUCGUGUAUGAGUGUCAGUAUAGGACCAGUUCGCCGCCUUCGCCGCCGGUGUUCCUCCUGAUAUCUACGUAUUUCACCACUACACCAGGAAUUCCACGAACCUCUUCCUUACUCAAGUUUGGUAGUUUUGAAUGCACUUCCCGAGUUAAGCCCGGGGCUUUCACAUCCAACUUACCAAACCACCUGCACACGCUUUACGCCCAAUGAUUCCGAACAACGCUAGGACCCCCCGUCUUACCGCGGCUGCUGGCAC